rnacentral:rRNA from 1 species
GAUGAACGCUGGCGGCGUGCCUAAUACAUGCAAGUCGAGCGACCGCACGAGAAGCUUGUUCCUCUGAUGUUAGCGGCGGACGGGUGAGUAAGACGUGCAUAACCUUCCUAUUAGACUGGGAUAACUUCGGGAAACCGCUGCUAAUACCGGCUAAUAUUUUCAACCGCAUGGUUCAAAAGUGAUAGACGGUCUUCCUGUCACUUAUAGAUGGAUCCGCGCUGCAUUAGCUAGUUGGUAAGGUAACGGCUAACCAAGGCAACGAUGCAUAGCCGACCUGAGAGGGUGAGCGGCCACACUGGAACUGAGACACGGUCCAGACUCCUACGGGAGGCAGCAGUAGGGAAUCUUACGCAAUGGGCGAAAGCCUGACGGAGCAACGCCGCGUGAGUGAUGAAGGUCUUCGGAUUGUAAAACUCUGUUAUUGGGGAAGAACAUAUGUGGGAGAAACUGUGCAUAUCUUGACGGUACCUAAUCAAAAAGCCACGGCUAACUUCGUG